rnacentral:rRNA from 1 species
GACGAACGCUGGCGGUAUGCUUAACACAUGCAAGUCGAACGCGAACGGAGUAACUAAUUCGUUAGAAGCUCCUAGUAGAGUGGCGAACGGGUGAGUAACGCGUGGAUAACGUGCCUCUCAGUGGGGAAUAACACAGGGAAACUUGUGCUAAUACCGCAUACGUCCUUCCGACCCAGUUGGAAUGAUGAAAGGUGGGGACCUUCGGGCCUGCCGCUGAGAGAUCGGUCCGCGUCCCAUUAGCUUGUUGGUGGGGUAAUGGCCUACCAAGGCUCUGAUGGGUAGCCGGCCUGAGAGGGUGACCGGCCACACUGGGAUUGAGAUACGGCCCAGACUCCUUCGGGAGGCAGCAGUCGAGAAUCUUCCACAAUGGACGAAAGUCUGAUGGAGCGACGCCGCGUGAGUGAUGAAGGCCCUACGGGUUGUAAAACUCUGUCAGGAGAGAAGAACCGCCGGGGUGCCAAUACCACCCUGGUCUGACGUUAUCUCCAGAGGAAGCUCCGGCUAACUCCGUGCCAGCAGCCGCGGUAAUACGGGGGGAGCAAGCGUUGUCCGGAAUUAUUGGGCGUAAAGGGCGUGUAGGCGGCCUGGUCAGUCGAAUGUGAAAUCCCACGGCUCAACCGUGGAAUUGCGUUCGAUACUGCCUGGCUUGAGUAUGUGAGAGGUGUGCGGAAUUCCUGGUGUAGCGGUGGAAUGCGUAGAUAUCAGGAAGAACACCGAUGGCGAAGGCAGCACACUGGCGCAAUACUGACGCUGAGGCGCGAAAGCGUGGGGAGCAAACA